GGGGACAUGGAGAGGAACUGGGGUAGAUGGCCAAGCCAUGCCCCUUGUAGUUGGGACUGGACCAGUAAAAAUGGCACACCAAUGAGGCCACUUUGCAGACGGGCAGGUGGGGAGCUGAAAGUGCAAUCCACGGUGCCAACAAGCCUCUGGGAAAAAGCAGGGUGGGAGAGAGCAGGCUGGAAAGUAGAGCUCAGUAGUCUAUGUCUGUCCAUCUGUCUGUCUGCCUAUCUGCUAGAGCCAGAACUUUGGGGUCACAGGCCAGGGCCUGGCAACAGUGAGGCACUCUACAAACAGCAUGAGGUGUGACAAAGUCUGCUGCCGAGCUCUGUAAACAGCACUGAACACUGAAACAUGCGCCAGGUUCUGUCAAAAAUGAAGGGGUCAGCAAAAUGCACCAGGCUGUGCAACCAGCCCAGUUCCCUCUAGCUCCAGCACAGACUCUUAUCUCCA
rnacentral:lncRNA from 10 species